GACGAACGCUGGCGGCGUGCUUAACACAUGCAAGUCGAACGGUGAAGCGCCUUCCUUUUUGGUGGGUGUGGAUGAGUGGCGAACGGGUGAGUAACACGUGAGUAACCUGCCCCCUUCUUCUGGAUAACCGCAUGAAAGUGUGGCUAAUACGGGAUAUUCUGGGUCUGUCGCAUGAUGGGUCUGGGAAAGAUAUUGUUUCGGUGGGGGAUGGGCUCGCGGCCUAUCAGCUUGUUGGUGGGGUGAUGGCCUACCAAGGCGGUGACGGGUAGCCGGCCUGAGAGGGUGGACGGUCACACUGGGACUGAGACACGGCCCAGACUCCUACGGGAGGCAGCAGUGAGGAAUAUUGCACAAUGGGCGCAAGCCUGAUGCAGCGACGCCGCGUGAGGGAUGGAGGCCUUCGGGUUGUGAACCUCUUUCGCCAGUGAAGCAGGCCUGCCUCGUUUGUGGGUGGGUUGACGGUAGCUGGAUAAGAAGCGCCGGCUAACUACGUG
rnacentral:rRNA from 1 species